AUUCCAGGGCUGCUCUGCAGCUGCCCAGGCAGCUCCGUGGGUGGCCACUCUGCUAACGUGGGAGCACACGUGGCUUCCAUCUGAUGAGCAGUCUCAGGGAAGCUGGGGGCUUCAGACACCAAAUGUCUAUUUCCCUCCUUGAUUUGAGACUCUUUUGGAGCUCUUGGAGACUUCCAGCAGAAACCUGAGCUGCCGGCUGCCAAGAAUCAGCGGUGGAUUUCUUGACCUGCUCUUAAUACCAAUUGAAUAACCCCUUUGAAAACGUUCACAUACAUGGGGUACAAGGUGGUACCUUUGUGCAUGAGACUGUUCUGGAGACGGCUUAUCACCCAGCAAAUCAGUGUUGGCCAUCUGGGACUCAGCGACCCUUUCUACGAGGCUAUGGUGAAGUCUCACUCUGUUGCCCAGGCUGGAGUGCAGUGGCACGAUCUCGGCUCGCUGCAACCUCCACCUCCCAGGUUCAAGCGAUCCUUCUGUUUCAGCCUCUCCAGUGGCUGGUAUUACAGGAACACACCACCAUGCCUGGCUAAUGCUUCUCUUUCUAUAAAUGAAGACGUGAGGCCGUGUAAGCUCCAAGAGAGCAGGGAUCUUGUUUGUCUUGGUCACCGUGAUAUUUCAGCUGCUGACCCAGUGCUUGAAGCAUAAACCCUGGACCAAGAGUGCCCUGGAGAUUAAGAAACCACGAGUCAGAAGAAGUCAUAAUUCAUGGCUGGGCGCAGUGGGAGGCUGAGGCGGGUGGAUCAUGAGAAGAGAAACUGAGGCCCAUAAAAUUGAAUGGCUCAUCUCAGAUCAAGUGGCCAGAUGUGCCAGUUCUGGUAAAUUUCCUAGCAAGCUUGAAGGAAGUGAAGGACAACUGCAAGGAAGGGCAGGAUGGAGCAUGCAGCCCACGUAUUCCCCAGCUUGGUGGGGCAGAAUGCGUUCUUGGCUCCUGAGGAAUGGGCAGGCAACGCACAGGGGUCCUGGGAAGAAAGGGAGAGAAUAUCCUGGGAGAGCCAUAGACCCUGGCACCCUCCUGUGGUCCUUCAUCAGGAUAAAUUUCUAAAAGAAGAAUUACUGGCCAAAGGAUUCCUCUUCAGUUGGAAACAGCAGCAAAGUUCACAGGUCGUGAGUGGAUGUAAAGUGGACGGAACAGGUUGUUGCCAGUCUAUUGGAGUAGGAUGGUAGAUGAGCAGUCCCGUUGGCUAACAG
rnacentral:lncRNA from 1 species